rnacentral:rRNA from 1 species
CAGCAGCCGCGGUAAUACGGAGGGUGCAAGCGUUAAUCGGAAUUACUGGGCGUAAAGCGCACGCAGGCGGUCUGACAAGUCAGAUGUGAAAUCCCCGGGCUUAACCUGGGAACUGCAUUUGAAACUGUCAGGCUGGAGUCUUGUAGAGGGGGGUGGAAUUCCAGGUGUAGCGGUGAAAUGCGUAGAGAUCUGGAGGAAUACCGGUGGCGAAGGCGGCCCCCUGGACAAAGACUGACGCUCAGGUGCGAAAGCGUGGGGAGCAAACAGGAUUAGAUACCCGUGUAGUCCCUGUCUCUUAUAA